rnacentral:rRNA from 1 species
UCUACGUGAGGCAGCAGUGGGGAAUCUUAGACAAUGGGCGCAAGCCUGAUCUAGCCAUGCCGCGUGAGUGAUGAAGGCCUUAGGGUCGUAAAGCUCUUUCGCUGGGAAGAUAAUGACGGUACCCAGUAA